UGGUACUUGUACCGACUGGAUGAGCAGCGAACGGGUGAGUAACGCGUGGGGAAUCUGCCUUUGAGCGGGGGACAACAUUUGGAAACGAAUGCUAAUACCGCAUAAAAACUUUAAACACAAGUUUUAAGUUUGAAAGAUGCAAUUGCAUCACUCAAAGAUGAUCCCGCGUUGUAUUAGCUAGUUGGUGAGGUAAAGGCUCACCAAGGCGAUGAUACAUAGCCGACCUGAGAGGGUGAUCGGCCACAUUG
rnacentral:rRNA from 1 species